AUGCAGAGCUGUGUGUUCUAUGGUUCUGUAUGCAGAGCUGUGUGUUCUAUGGUUCUAUAUGCACAGCUGUGUGUUCUAUGGUUCUAUAUGCAGAGCUGUGGUUUACACGGAGGUGUGUUCUAUGGUUCUAUAUGCAGAGCUGUGGUUUACACGGAGGUGUGUUCUAUGGUUCUAUAUGCAGAGCUGUGGUUUACAUGGAGGUGUGUUCUAUGGUUCUAUAUGCAGAGCUGUGGUUUACAUGGAGGUGUGUUCUAUGGUUCUAUAUGCAGAGCUGUGGUUUACAUGGAGGUGUGUUCUAUGGUUCUAUAUGCAGAGCUGUGUGUUCUAUGGUUCUAUAUGCAGAGCUGUGGUUUACAUGGAGGUGUGUUCUAUAUGCAGAGCUGUGUGUUCUAUGGUUCUAUAUGCAGAGCUGUGGUUUACAUGGAGGUGUGUUCUAUGGUUGUAUAUGCAGAGCUGUGGUUUACAUGGAGGUGUGUUCUAUGGUUCUAUAUGCAGAGCUGUGGUUUACAUGGAGGUGUGUUCUAUGGUUCUAUAUGCAGAGCUGUGGUUUACAUGGAGGUGUGUUCUAUGGUUCUAUAUGCAGAGCUGUGGUUUACAUGGAGGUGUGUUCUAUGGUUCUAUAUGCAGAGCUGUGGUUUACAUGGAGGUGUGUUCUAUGGUUCUAUAUGCAGAGCUGUGGUUUACAUGGAGGUGUGUUCUAUGGUUCUAUAUGCAGAGCUGUGGUUUACAUGGAGGUGUGUUCUAUGGUUCUAUAUGCAGAGCUGUGGUUUACAUGGAGGUGUGUUCUAUGGUUCUAUAUGCAGAGCUGUGUGUUCUAUGGUUCUAUAUGCAGAGCUGUGGUUUACAUGGAGGUGUGUUCUAUGGUUCUAUAUGCAGAGCUGUGGUUUACAUGGAGGUGUGUUCUAUGAUUCUAUAAGCAGAGCUGUGGUUUACAUGGAGGUGUGUUCUAUGGUUCCAUAUGCAGAGCUGUGGUUUACAUGGAGGUGUGUUCUAUGGUUCUAUAAGCAGAGCUGUGUGUUCUAUGGUUCUAUAUGCAGAGCUGUGGUUUACAUGGAGGUGUGUUCUAUGGUUGUAUAUGCAGAGCUGUGGUUUACAUGGAGGUGUGUUCUAUGGUUCUAUAUGCAGAGCUGUGGUUUACAUGGAGGUGUGUUCUAUGGUUCUAUAUGCAGAGCUGUGUGUUCUAUGGUUCUAUAUGCAGAGCUGUGGUUUACAUGGAGGUGUGUUCUAUGGUUCUAUAUGCAGAGCUGUGUGUUCUAUGGUUCUAUAUGCAGAGCUGUGGUUUACAUGGAGGUGUGUUCUAUGGUUCUAUAUGCAGAGCUGUGGUUUACAUGGAGGUGUGUUCUAUGGUUCUAUAUGCAGAGCUGUGGUUUACAUGGAGGUGUGUUCUAUGGUUCUAUAUGCAGAGCUGUGGUUUACAUGGAGGUGUGUUCUAUGGUUCUAUAUGCAGAGCUGUGGUUUACAUGGAGGUGUGUUCUAUGGUUCUAUAUGCAGAGCUGUGGUUUACAUGGAGGUGUGUUCUAUGGUUCUAUAUGCAGAGCUGUGGUUUACAUGGAGGUGUGUUCUAUGGUUCUAUAUGCAGAGCUGUGUGUUCUAUGGUUCUAUAUGCAGAGCUGUGGUUUACAUGGAGGUGUGUUUUAUGGUUCUAUAUGCAGAGCUGUGUGUUCUAUGGUUCUAUAUGCAGAGCUGUGGUUUACAUGGAGGUGUGUUCUAUGGUUCUAUAUGCAGAGCUGUGGUUUACAUGGAGGUGUGUUCUAUGGUUCUAUAUGCAGAGCUGUGUGUUCUAUGGUUCUAUAUGCAGAGCUGUGGUUUACAUGGAGGUGUGUUCUAUGGUUCUAUAUGCAGAGCUGUGGUUUACAUGGAGGUGUGUUCUAUGGUUCUAUAUGCAGAGCUGUGGUUUACAUGGAGGUGUGUUCUAUGGUUCUAUAUGCAGAGCUGUGGUUUACAUGGAGGUGUGUUCUAUGGUUCUAUAUGCAGAGCUGUGUGUUCUAUGGUUCUAUAUGCAGAGCUGUGGUUUACAUGGAGGUGUGUUCUAUGGUUCUAUAUGCAGAGCUGUGGUUUACAUGGAGGUGUGUUCUAUGGUUCUAUAUGCAGAGCUGUGGUUUACAUGGAGGUGUGUUCUAUGGUUCUAUAUGCAGAGCUGUGGUUUACAUGGAGGUGUGUUCUAUGGUUCUAUAUGCAGAGCUGUGGUUUACAUGGAGGUGUGUUCUAUGGUUCUAUAUGCAGAGCUGUGUGUUCUAUGGUUCUAUAUGCAGAGCUGUGGUUUACAUGGAGGUGUGUUCUAUGGUUCUAUAUGCAGAGCUGUGGUUUACAUGGAGGUGUGUUCUAUGGUUCUAUAUGCAGAGCUGUGGUUUACAUGGAGGUGUGUUCUAUGGUUCUAUAUGCAGAGCUGUGGUUUACAUGGAGGUGUGUUCUAUGGUUCUAUAUGCAGAGCUGUGGUUUACAUGGAGGUGUGUUCUAUGGUUCUAUAUGCAGAGCUGUGGUUUACAUGGAGGUGUGUUCUAUGGUUCUAUAUGCAGAGCUGUGGUUUACAUGGAGGUGUGUUCUAUGGUUCUAUAUGCAGAGCUGUGGUUUACAUGGAGGUGUGUUCUAUGGUUCUAUAUGCAGAGCUGUGGUUUACAUGGAGGUGUGUUCUAUGGUUCUAUAUGCAGAGCUGUGGUUUACAUGGAGGUGUGUUCUAUGGUUCUAUAUGCAGAGCUGUGGUUUACAUGGAGGUGUGUUCUAUGGUUCUAUAUGCAGAGCUGUGGUUUACAUGGAGGUGUGUUCAAUGGUUCUAUAUGCAGAGCUGUGGUUUACAUGGAGGUGUGUUCUAUGGUUCUAUAUGCAGAGCUGUGGUUUACAUGGAGGUGUGUUCUAUGGUUCUAUAUGCAGAGCUGUGGUUUACAUGGAGGUGUGUUCUAUGGUUCUAUAUGCAGAGCUGUGGUUUACAUGGAGGUGUGUUCUAUGGUUCUAUAUGCAGAGCUGUGUGUUCUAUGGUUCUAUAUGCAGAGCUGUGGUUUACAUGGAGGUGUGUUCUAUGGUUCUAUAUGCAGAGCUGUGGUUUACAUGGAGGUGUGUUCUAUGGUUCUAUAUGCAGAGCUGUGGUUUACAUGGAGGUGUGUUCUAUGGUUCUAUAUGCAGAGCUGUGGUUUACAUGGAGGUGUGUUCUAUGGUUCUAUAUGCAGAGCUGUGUGUUCUAUGGUUCUAUAUGCAGAGCUGUGGUUUACAUGGAGGUGUGUUCUAUGGUUCUAUAUGCAGAGCUGUGGUUUACAUGGAGGUGUGUUCUAUGGUUCUAUAUGCAGAGCUGUGGUUUACAUGGAGGUGUGUUCUAUGGUUCUAUAUGCAGAGCUGUGGUUUACAUGGAGGUGUGUUCUAUGGUUCUAUAUGCAGAGCUGUGGUUUACAUGGAGGUGUGUUCUAUGGUUCUAUAUGCAGAGCUGUGGUUUACAUGGAGGUGUGUUCUAUGGUUCUAUAUGCAGAGCUGUGGUUUACAUGGAGGUGUGUUCUAUGGUUCUAUAUGCAGAGCUGUGGUUUACAUGGAGGUGUGUUCUAUGGUUCUAUAUGCAGAGCUGUGGUUUACAUGGAGGUGUGUUCUAUGGUUCUAUAUGCAGAGCUGUGGUUUACAUGGAGGUGUGUUCUAUGGUUCUAUAUGCAGAGCUGUGGUUUACAUGGAGGUGUGUUCUAUGGUUCUAUAUGCAGAGCUGUGGUUUACAUGGAGGUGUGUUCUAUGGUUCUAUAUGCAGAGCUGUGGUUUACAUGGAGGUGUGUUCUAUGGUUCUAUAUGCAGAGCUGUGUGUUCUAUGGUUCUAUAUGCAGAGCUGUGGUUUACAUGGAGGUGUGUUCUAUGGUUCUAUAUGCAGAGCUGUGGUUUACAUGGAGGUGUGUUCUAUGGUUCUAUAUGCAGAGCUGUGGUUUACAUGGAGGUGUGUUCUAUGGUUCUAUAUGCAGAGCUGUGGUUUACAUGGAGGUGUGUUCUAUGGUUCUAUAUGCAGAGCUGUGGUUUACAUGGAGGUGUGUUCUAUGGUUCUAUAUGCAGAGCUGUGUGUUCUAUGGUUCUAUAUGCAGAGCUGUGGUUUACAUGGAGGUGUGUUCUAUGGUUCUAUAUGCAGAGCUGUGGUUUACAUGGAGGUGUGUUCUAUGGUUCUAUAUGCAGAGCUGUGGUUUACAUGGAGGUGUGUUCUAUGGUUCUAUAUGCAGAGCUGUGGUUUACAUGGAGGUGUGUUCUAUGGUUCUAUAUGCAGAGCUGUGGUUUACAUGGAGGUGUGUUCUAUGGUUCUAUAUGCAGAGCUGUGUGUUCUAUGGUUCUAUAUGCAGAGCUGUGGUUUACAUGGAGGUGUGUUCUAUGGUUCUAUAUGCAGAGCUGUGGUUUACAUGGAGGUGUGUUCUAUGGUUCUAUAUGCAGAGCUGUGUGUUCUAUGGUUCUAUAUGCAGAGCUGUGGUUUACAUGGAGGUGUGUUCUAUGGUUCUAUAUGCAGAGCUGUGGUUUACAUGGAGGUGUGUUCUAUGGUUCUAUAUGCAGAGCUGUGGUUUACAUGGAGGUGUGUUCUAUGGUUCUAUAUGCAGAGCUGUGGUUUACAUGGAGGUGUGUUCUAUGGUUCUAUAUGCAGAGCUGUGUGUUCUAUGGUUCUAUAUGCAGAGCUGUGGUUUACAUGGAGGUGUGUUCUAUGGUUCUAUAUGCAGAGCUGUGGUUUACAUGGAGGUGUGUUCUAUGGUUCUAUAUGCAGAGCUGUGGUUUACAUGGAGGUGUGUUCUAUGGUUCUAUAUGCAGAGCUGUGGUUUACAUGGAGGUGUGUUCUAUGGUUCUAUAUGCAGAGCUGUGGUUUACAUGGAGGUGUGUUCUAUGGUUCUAUAUGCAGAGCUGUGGUUUACAUGGAGGUGUGUUCUAUGGUUCUAUAUGCAGAGCUGUGGUUUACAUGGAGGUGUGUUCUAUGGUUCUAUAUGCAGAGCUGUGGUUUACAUGGAGGUGUGUUCUAUGGUUCUAUAUGCAGAGCUGUGGUUUACAUGGAGGUGUGUUCUAUGGUUCUAUAUGCAGAGCUGUGGUUUACAUGGAGGUGUGUUCUAUGGUUCUAUAUGCAGAGCUGUGGUUUACAUGGAGGUGUGUUCUAUGGUUCUAUAUGCAGAGCUGUGGUUUACAUGGAGGUGUGUUCUAUGGUUCUAUAUGCAGAGCUGUGGUUUACAUGGAGGUGUGUUCUAUGGUUCUAUAUGCAGAGCUGUGUGUUCUAUGGUUCUAUAUGCAGAGCUGUGGUUUACAUGGAGGUGUGUUCUAUGGUUCUAUAUGCAGAGCUGUGGUUUACAUGGAGGUGUGUUCUAUGGUUCUAUAUGCAGAGCUGUGGUUUACAUGGAGGUGUGUUCUAUGGUUCUAUAUGCAGAGCUGUGGUUUACAUGGAGGUGUGUUCUAUGGUUCUAUAUGCAGAGCUGUGGUUUACAUGGAGGUGUGUUCUAUGGUUCUAUAUGCAGAGCUGUGGUUUACAUGGAGGUGUGUUCUAUGGUUCUAUAUGCAGAGCUGUGGUUUACAUGGAGGUGUGUUCUAUGGUUCUAUAUGCAGAGCUGUGGUUUACAUGGAGGUGUGUUCUAUGGUUCUAUAUGCAGAGCUGUGGUUUACAUGGAGGUGUGUUCUAUGGUUCUAUAUGCAGAGCUGUGGUUUACAUGGAGGUGUGUUCUAUGGUUCUAUAUGCAGAGCUGUGGUUUACAUGGAGGUGUGUUCUAUGGUUCUAUAUGCAGAGCUGUGGUUUACAUGGAGGUGUGUUCUAUGGUUCUAUAUGCAGAGCUGUGGUUUACAUGGAGGUGUGUUCUAUGGUUCUAUAUGCAGAGCUGUGUGUUCUAUGGUUCUAUAUGCAGAGCUGUGGUUUACAUGGAGGUCCAACCUCUUUUUAUUUGUGUGUUUUGUAUUUACAUUUUCAUACCAAACAAAGUGUUGUACAGAGAGAAACUCUCUGUUUCUGAACUCCACAUUUACAAGCCCCUAAUUCCUGGGCCCUACACCCUAGCCCCUUUAAACUAG
rnacentral:lncRNA from 1 species